rnacentral:lncRNA from 1 species
UCCUUUUCCUUUCUUUUUGUAUUUCAUUUCUUUUCCUUAAAACAUUGGGGACAAUGUUUCAUUUAAGUAUGGGGGGGAAAACCGUGUUCUUUCUAUCCUCCUUUUUCCUUUUUUCAAGUAUGUACCUUUCUUUUCAUUGUUAUUUCCCUUAUAAAAAAAAAUAUUUCUUAUAAUAUAGAUUUAUUUUAAGUUAAGUCCCAAGU